CAGCAGCCGCGGUAAUACGUAGGUGGCAAGCGUUGUCCGGAAUUAUUGGGCGUAAAGCGCGCGCAGGCGGUCCUUUAAGUCUGAUGUGAAAGCCCACGGCUCAACCGUGGAGGGUCAUUGGAAACUGGGGGACUUGAGUGCAGAAGAGAAGAGUGGAAUUCCACGUGUAGCGGUGAAAUGCGUAGAGAUGUGGAGGAACACCAGUGGCGAAGGCGACUCUUUGGUCUGUAACUGACACUGAGGCGCGAAAGCGUGGGGAGCAAACAGGAUUAGAUACCCUGGUAGUCCACGCCGUAAACGAUGAGUGCUAAGUGUUAGAGGGUUUACGCCCUUUAGUGCUGCAGCAAACGCAUUAAGCACUCCGCCUGGGGAGUACGGCCGCAAGGCUGAAACUUAAAGGAAUUGGCGGG
rnacentral:rRNA from 1 species